rnacentral:lncRNA from 1 species
CACAUUUUCAGGCACUCACUUUAAAGCCACUUGGCUCUUUUCAGACCUGGACAGUCAUUUUUAUUGUGAGAUAAUUACUUUGCAUGUGUGACUCGUCUAAAUUUAUUGUAUGAACAACCAGGUCAUCGCAUCAUAUACAUGACACACAGCAGGGGCCUAAGACUUCAAACUUUCAACCUGACCCUUAACAUGACAGAAAUCCUUGAAACCAGAAGUGGCAGUCCGCUGGACACAGGUGAAACCAAGUGUGCAGAGCAUCAAGCUAUACUUGGCUUCUAGAGACUGCACCUACACCACAGCUUGCAUUUGGGAAGCCAGGUGCAGAACUGUCCUCUGCAGGCUGCGCCACACAUCGUUUAUUCACGGAUGGUUUAGGCAAGCCAUGCACAAUCUUUGAAAAAACGACUGUGCUCAGCAAUCAGGACAAGGGUUACCACAUGUCCAGCUGUUCCCAGACACUUUGGGGCCUCCCAUCUUUAACCUGGUGGUUUUUUUGAAAUAUCAACAAACAUCUGGGAUUUUGCUUUGCUCGGCAUCCAGGUUUUUCCUGGUGGAAGCAUGGUGCCCAGGCAUCGGGGCUGCUGCAGAGAAGGAGACAACUGCCCCUCUGGGGGGGGGGGCCUUUGGGAGACACGCUAGGGUGGGUGCCUGGGCUUACAAGGGUGGAACAGCCUGGAGGCACUGCAGGACUCGGGGGAGCAGGUCGAACGAAAAGCACAGGUAGGGCUGGGGGGGGACUGUGGUUUGAGAGUGAGGGACAGGGAUAGGGCACAGGCAUGUCAGUGCCCUCUCCCCAAGUGUCCUCGUAUUUGAAAGGAAACAUGGCAGGAGCAUUCUGCUUUCUGCAAUCCAUCUCGCUCUCUCGUGCGCACACACACGCGCACCCCCGGGGUCUGGCCGGGGCGCUGCUCACCCCCCACGCCUCCCCACGCGGCUCCAGCUGACGUUAGCGAGACUCACCCCAAACCCCGAGUUCGAAAGCAGCCGGCUCCCGUCGGCCCCCGCGAGCGCUACUGCGCUCGCUGCUUCCCGAUUGGGCGAUGCGUGGGGCCCGCCCUUUGUGACAUUGCCCAAUCAGUUUGGCGCAGCGCCGCUUCGAAUUCGGUGCCCCCAGUCGCCUGGCCGAGGGGUGGGGGAGUUUGCAGCCGCCCGCGAACCCCGGGGGCCCGAGCCCGAGGAGGGGGCUCUCGCGGGCCACACGCACAGGCAUAUGUGCAGUAAGGCAUAUCCUUACCGCUCCAGUGGUGCGUGAGCAGUG